rnacentral:lncRNA from 1 species
CUCAUAACCACAUGGGAUGAGAAGUGAGAUCUACUGAAAAUCAGCUGAUAAUCGCUCGCCUAAAUCACUUGGCAAGCGUUCGUGAAAAAACAACUCACGCCAAAGAGAAUCAAGAGGGGAAAAGCAAGCUAAAUGCAUACCAAUGAGCUCAGCUAGUACAGAACUGCCUGGUCUGCACAGGCCAGAGGCUUUAGUGAGUCAUGGGCUUUUCUGAAAGAGCGUGUUUUCUUCCUUGUCUCCCCUUUUUUGAUUCAUGCAAAUACAGCCUGUGUGCCUUUCCCCAGCCUACAGUUUGCUUUCUGGAAGUCCUGUCUGUGCACAGUGGCAGCUCUGCAGUGCUCCUGUCCGUCAGAUGUCUCACACUCUGCGGACCAGAAGGAGCUCUGAGGCAGGUGGUGGCAGCAGGGACAGGAUAAAUCUCUUUCCUAAUUGCUGGGACCCCUCCAACUCUGUGCUGUGUUUGCAGCCCAGCUAUGCCAGCAGGACACUUGUCCCCGGAGGCAGCAUCUGUGCCAGGCUACAAGCAGAGGGUGAAAACAAAAUAGCUUGCAACUCCUUUGAGGCUGAGGAGCCAAUCUUACAACCCAAGGAGACCAGAGAUGCCGGCUGGCAUUCAGCAACCCCCGUGCUGGGGGAUGCAGAGCUGAACAAGAAGCUCUGGUGGCCCUAACGCACAGGCCAGCACCAAGUGAUCCCAGAUCAUUCCCAACUGGUGGAUACUCAUGAAGUCGUCCAGUCUUUCAAGGAGAGGCAGUAAGCCAUGCCUUACCCUCCACUGUCUUCUCACAUACGCUGGGCUGGUGGUCUGCUACUGAUUGUUGGCACCAGUGAUGCUCUGGACCACUUCUGGAUGAACAUGUAGUGCUUUCUGUCACUGACAGCCUAAGGCCAUAGGUAUAAAAAAACCCUGCAUUUGUCAUCAUCCAUGCUGGGACAGACUCUCCCAGCUGAUUCUACUCUCCUGCACUGCACUAACUGAUGGGAUGGGUAGUAUGUAGUGCCUUUCUUUUUUUCUGCAUUAAGCAACCUUGGGUAGGGAACAUCUUCCAUGUUCUGCCAAGGGAGUUUUCAGCUCUCCUGGGUAGGCAAAUCAGUCAGAAGGAAAGGGGAAGCUCAAGUCAGGCCAUGUUAUUUUACCAUAUCACUGCAAGUUACUAAUGGACAGAGGGAAACACUGUAAGCAAGCAACCAGCAAAGGAGAAACUGCUUAGCCUGCCCUGUGAAGAGUAUCCACUGUGUUACAGGGAGAUUGGAGUCAAAACAGGCAGCCAGCUCAGAACAGAACAUACUGAGCUGUACUGUGUAAGACAAACAAGACAAGAUCAAGCUCUGCACUUGGAAACAGCUGCAGGAACCACAGCAGAUGACACUGCUUUGCAACAGUUUGUAACUGCCAAUGGAGCAUGCAUGGCACAAAGAAAGUGCUAGCAGCACCGUCAGUGCACAGACACCCCUGAGAGCAACUGGCCUCAGCACUGAAGAAGGGGAAAAUAUUGUUGGCUGGAGAGCAGAGACCGUCUCAUGUUUCAGGUGGAUGUGGAUGCUGGAGCUGGGUGGCUCCAUAACCAGCAGCACUGGGAGAGGAGCUGGGGUAGCCCAAGGCCACAAGGCCAGACUCAGGGUUAGAGGGGCAAGUUGUCACUGUAAAAUGAGGAUGAAAACUAAGCUUCUGGGUCUACGAUGUGCCUGAUUAGAAAACACACUGUGUUGGUAUCAAGAAAACCCAUGGCAUAGCACCCCUCUGUGAGAAGCUGGGGACCAGCACACGCAAAGGUUCAGGACGUUGUCCUUGGGAUGGAGAAGUUCCUAGCAGUUACAGAAAGACAAGGAAGCAACGAGUCACCUGACACUUUGCAAAAAAAGCUUGAUUUCAAACAAGUUCCAAGAACUAAUUAGGACUCUUCUCCCCACUGCUGGCAUAAAGGGACAGCCUGGCUCUGUGCAUCAGCGAUCCUGCUGAUGCUGCUACAUCUCCUGCUGGCCUUGCCCUUUCCUCUAUUUCAAGCGUUGCACAUGACUCAAAAGAUUAAAUAAAUGCAUAAUAAAAGCAGGAUUUUGGUCA